rnacentral:lncRNA from 1 species
AUAUUCUAACAUCACAGAUAUCUAUCUAUCUAUAUAUAGAUAGAUAGAUUAUAUUCGUAGUUCUCCAAAUUUCCUGAAGUUUGAAAUAAAAACAGUGAUACUGAUCCAAACUACUAGAAGCUAGAGCUGGAGGAAAAGGACUAUGUCCGGGUUUACUCCAUUUUUUAUCCCACGCCUGACUCUAGGAGACAUGGUCUGGAGAUGAGACGCCCCAUCGCCUAUUAUACAGCUCAGUUUUAAGGCCUACUUGGAUUAAUUAUAGAAAGCGAAUUGAAACUUCUGUAAAUAGAGCAAAGAGAGUUUGAAUACAUUGAAAUAUUUGUCAGUGACAUCGCAAAAGCAAAACAUAUUCAAAAUCCUCAUUUUAGAAAAAACAUUAAAUCAACCUUAAACCAGU